CCGCGUGAGGGAUGACGGCCUUCGGGUUGUAAACCUCUUUCAGCAGGGACGAAGCGUAAGUGACGGUACCUGCAGAAUAAGCACCGGCCAACUACGUGCCAGCAGCCGCGGUAAGACGUAGGGUGCGAGCGUUGUCCGGAUUUAUUGGGCGUAAAGAGCUCGUAGGCGGCUUGUCGCGUCGACCGUGAAAACUUGGGGCUCAACCCCAAGCCUGCGGUCGAUACGGGCAGGCUAGAGUUCGGUAGGGGAGACUGGAAUUCCUGGUGUAGCGGUGAAAUGCGCAGAUAUCAAGAGGAACACCGGUGGCGAAGGCGGGUCUCUGGGCCGAUACUGACGCUGAGGAGCGAAAGCGUGGGGAGCGAACAGGAUUAGAUACCCUGGUAGUCCACGCUGUAAACGUUGGGCGCUAGGUGUGGGGGGCCUCUCCGGUUCUCUGUGCCGCAGCUAACGCAUUAAGCGCCCCGCCUGGGGAGUACGGCCGCAAGGCUAAAACUCAAAGGAAUUGACGGGGGCCCGCACAAGCGGCGGAGCAUGCGGAUUAAUUCGAUGCAACGCGAAGAACCUUACCUGGGUUUGACAUGGCCGCAAAACUUGCAGAGAUGUAAGGUCCUUCGG
rnacentral:rRNA from 1 species